rnacentral:lncRNA from 1 species
AAGAUAGCAUUAUUAUAUUAGGCGAAUUUUCUCUGCACAAUUACAGACUGCGACGAGGCUGUUAGACAACCUUGACAUUUAAAAGGCCAGUGGGGAGCAAACCGGAACAUUCGCAAGAACGAAGAUGAUCAAGAACAUUUUAAAAAUCGGCAAGUUGUCUUUACGAGGAUACUCCAACAUGUGUAAGUCAGAACUAAAACUAAUGACUGGUUGGAAAAUACGAAAAUGAAACAUAAUGUUACGGGUUAAGCUUUGAACCAAGAUGAAAAUGAUCCACUUUCGUUGGUGUAUUUUCCAAAACUCUUAGAUUAUCUAAUAGGUGUGUAAGAGGUCAUAUGUUCAAUUAACUCUGGUUGGAAGGUUUUUUUUUUCAAAAAGAAAAGUGAAUUUAAAAUUGUUUAAGCAACGCCUUAGGGAAAUAUAUAGAUCUACGGAUCUAGAAUUUCCUAGUCAUUCAAAAAAACAUUUACAUUUAGCUAUAAAUUUAGGAGUGAUUCAAAUGUAAGAAGCUGUGAACAAAAGUAGAAAGAGUAUUUGAAACCUUUGAGAUGUUUAGAGUGAAGAAAUUGAUCAGAAUACCUUUUUUUAAAUCAGAAUACUAUUUAAAUAUAGUGUGUAGAUGCAAGCAAGAGCUUGUAAAUGUUAAUAGUGUGCUUUGAAGUAUCCGGUGACGUAAUCACUGAUGCAGAAGACGUGUAAAAUGGUGAAGACCAUGUGGAAUCAAGAUACUGAGUUAGAGUCGUAAAGAUUUGGAGAGUAGGCGUGUAUCUUGGAGAAAAAACAAGAGGAAUAAACUUGAAAAUCAAAUUUAUGUCUUAAAAAAAAGCAUAAAUGCACUUGCAAGAAAAGCAAAGCUACACUUAUUGCUAUGAAAGAUGUUUAUAAUGAUAGGUUCUUUGGACAAAGGGUUUUGGGAACGUAAAGAUAACUAUAAAAUAGCUAUGGGUUGUAUGUAUUUGACAGAGACACAUAGGCUGAUUUUAUAGAGAGAGAUAAAAUAUCUUAAAAGUUUUUUUGACCGUGUUGAAGCAGACGCUAAAAUAUGUGUCGUAAGAGAGACAAGAUCGGGUAGAUUAUAAACUUUUCAGUAGCGUAUGUUAUGAUGUUAACACAUGUAAAAACUCAUUAAAUAGAUUUUGUAAUAAAUUAUUUAAAGUGAUUUCUAAUAAAGCAUAGGUGUUUGCUUGUAUUGUUUACAUAACUUAAUUUUGGUUGCAUCCUGCACUUGUGUGUAUAUAUCAGAUAUAUUUGUAUAUAUCUUUUCCCUGGGUGUAACAUAAAAGUCUUCGGAUCGGAGAAAUUAUUUGACGUGUGGGUUCCUGUGAUAGGUCUCCAGAUCCUUGAAUCGAAUUGGCCGUUGUAGACUAUGGUUGAUGACAUUUGUUGUUGACAUGUCCGAGUCUCCGAGACUUGUCUGCAGGUGAACGUAUGUGGAUGCACAAAAUACGUAUAUUUGAGUAGGCUGGGCGCAUUUGGUGAUGGUGGCAUGGCCAUAUAAUCGCAUUAAUUAUAGGAGAGUUACUGAUCAAAGGUUAGCUUUACCGGCCGGAGAUGCGUUAGAUAUAAUUGUAGAGGAGAUUAUACCACCACGAUAAUUAUGGAAUAACCGUUCCACACAUAAAAAUGUUGUAUGUUUCCUGGUAUUUUAUUUUAUUCAUAUUUGCCAUUCCUUAUAUAUUUAAUGUUAGC